GGUGCAUAAAAAGAGAAAGAAAAAGGAGAGAUGUCACUUGAUCCAGACAUCUUUUCAAAAUUGGUUCUCUCCCUACUUAGCCAAUAUUGUCUUCAAAUCCCUACAAAAGAUAUGAAGCAAGACUUGAUUAACCUAAAUAAAAUGCAAAAAAAAGUAAAAGCAAAAGCUGAAAUAGGGUUGCCAUCCAAAAAGUACUAAGUUUAUCAUUUUCAGCCAGACUACAUUUAUUAACAGGUGCUUCCAUAC
rnacentral:lncRNA from 1 species